rnacentral:rRNA from 1 species
GGGAAUCUGCCCUUGGGUUCGGAAUAACAGUUAGAAAUGACUGCUAAUACCGGAUGAUGUCUUCGGACCAAAGAUUUAUCGCCCAGGGAUGAGCCCGCGUAGGAUUAGGUAGUUGGUGGGGUAAGAGCCUACCAAGCCGACGAUCCUUAGCUGGUCUGAGAGGAUGAUCAGCCACACUGGGACUGAGACACGGCCCAGACUCCUACGGGAGGCAGCAGUGGGGAAUAUUGGACAAUGGGCGAAAGCCUGAUCCAGCAAUGCCGCGUGAGUGAUGAAGGCCUUAGGGUUGUAAAGCUCUUUUACCCGGGAUGAUAAUGACAGUACCGGGAGAAUAAGCUCCGGCUAACUUCGUGCCAGCAGCCGCGGUAAUACGAGGGGAGCUAGCGUUAUUCGGAAUUACUGGGCGUAAAGCGCUCGUAGGCGGCUUUGUAAGUAAGGGGUGAAAGCCCAGAGCUCAACUCUGGAAUAGCCUUUUAGACUGCAUCGCUUGAAUCCAGGAGAGGUGAGUGGAAUUCCGAGU